AAGUCGUAACAAGGUUUCCGUAGGUGAACCUGCGGAAGGAUCAUUAUCACGUAUCCACGUAUAAACCAAUCCGUGAACUGUUUAUCACUCACCUCUGAGCUAUGGCCGCUGUCAUUGGACACAUGAGUUCAUUGUAUGAUUAUGUGACUCGUCCUUUGGCAAUUAAGGCUGUCUCUUCGGAGCGUAUUAAUCAUACUUUUUUUAACAUUAACCACUUGAACACUAUAUCAUUUUCUUUGUUUGAACUGAUUUGUUUCUUACUCAGCGCGCGUAACACCGCGCCGAGAAGAAAUCGAUUUACGAAACAAAAAAGAACAACUCUUAGCAACGGAUAUCUUGGUUCUC
rnacentral:misc_RNA from 1 species